AAUCAUGUCUGCAAAGUCCCUUCUGCAAUCUAAGUAAGAAAAAUCACCAAGAAUAUUAUUUUUGGUAUUUGGAAUUGAAUUUGCCAGGAAUGCAAGCACUGCUACCUAACUAAAGACCUUGGCUUUGGAAACAUCUUACCCCUUGGCAGCUCUCCAGAGUUUAGACUUGGCAGCAUCAAAGACACAACUCAAGGAUUAUAAAAAAACUAAACCUAUUUUACGAGCAACCAAAUUAAAAGCAGAAGCAAAGAAAACAGCAAUAGGCAUAAAGGAAGUUGGCCUUGUACUUGCAGCCAUAUUGGCACUACUGCUGGCUUUCUAUGCUUUCUUUUAUCUCAGACUCACCACGGAUGUUGACCCUGAUCUGGACCAAGAUGAAGAUUAGCUAGGCAACAAUCAAUGCGUGAAAGAGAAAUAACUUUACGAAAGCACCUUUUGGGACCAAAACUUUCAAUACUGAAACUGUAACAUCUUUAAUUCUUUCUGCUAAUAUUUUCAGUUUGCAGACAUAUAAUUUUUAAUAGUUGCAUAGGAUGUCAAGAAAAGAACCUUACCUAGCAAUGCAGUAUAGUAUGUGCUACUGGAUACUUUUAUAUAUCUUUCUGCUUUGACAGCCA
rnacentral:sRNA from 1 species